UAGGGAAUCUUCGGCAAUGGACGAAAGUCUGACCGAGCAACGCCGCGUGAGUGAAGAAGGUUUUCGGAUCGUAAAACUCUGUUGUUAGAGAAGAACAAGGACGUUAGUAACUGAACGUCCCCUGACGGUAUCUAACCAGAAAGCCACGGCUAACUACGUGCCAGCAGCCGCGGUAAUACGUAGGUGGCAAGCGUUGUCCGGAUUUAUUGGGCGUAAAGCGAGCGCAGGCGGGUUCUUAAGUCUGAUGUGAAAGCCCCCGGCUCAACCGGGGAGGGUCAUUGGAAACAGGGAGACUUGAGUGCAGAAGAGGAGAGUGGAAUUCCAUGUGUAGCGGUGAAAUGCGUAGAUAUAUGGAGGAACACCAGUGGCGAAGGCGGCUCUCUGGUCUGUAACUGACGCUGAGGCUCGAAAGCGUGGGGAGCAAACAGG
rnacentral:rRNA from 1 species